rnacentral:rRNA from 1 species
CCUACGGGAGGCAGCAGUGGGGAAUAUUGCACAAUGGGGGAAACCCUGAUGCAGCGACGCCGCGUGAAGGAAGAAGGUCUUCGGAUCGUAAACUUCUAUCAGCAGGGAAGAAGGAAGUGACGGUACCUGACUAAGAAGCCCCGGCUAACUACGUGCCAGCAGCCGCGGUAACACGUAGGUGGCGAGCGUUGUCCGGAAUUACUGGGCGUAAAGGGCGAGUAGGCGGCCAGUUGUGUCAGAUGUGAAAGGCUAGGGCUUAACCCUAGCAUGGCAUUUGAAACUGACUGGCUUGAGUGUAGGAGAGGGAAGCGGAAUUCCUAGUGUAGCGGUGAAAUGCGUAGAUAUUAGGAGGAACACCAGUGGCGAAGGCGGCUUCCUGGCCUAUAACUGACGCUGAGGCGCGAAAGCGUGGGGAGCAAACAGGAUUAGAUACCCGGGUAGUC